UUUCGACUUGGCGCUUCUGUAGAACCGAAAAUUUCGCACUCUUCACUCCGUCCCUCCAAAGGCACACGCGCUCACCAAACAGUUCCUUCUCCUCCGCGUGCUUCUCUCUCUCUCUCUCUCACCGUCGAUCAUAACAAGGAGCUUCGAAGGUUAGGUUUAUCUUUCUCCGUUAGCGAAACGAUUAACUUUCUAGAGAAUUCCGAAGGUUUUCACGAGGAGGAUUUGGUUUGUUUCUCCGUCGUUUCGACUCUACAAUUUGGCGUUAUGAUUUUUUCAAUUUGACGUACGAGUUAGCGAAUUUGUUUCGUAUCGAAUUCGGGGAUGAAGAUAACGUUUCGCAUUAGGUGUCAAUUGCGAGAGGAAUUAAUACUUGGAGGUUUGAGACGCGAAUCCGUCGUUUGGUGAAAUUAGGGUUUUGGAAUCGCAAUCUGGGUACCCGUUUAUGUUGACGAGGUAGGAAAUUGCUGAGGUAGCAUAAUCUGAAGCGGUGCAAAGUUGGUUCGGAGAUUGAGAAUGGGGGCAAAAAAGGGUGAGAUUAUAUAUAUAGUGUACAGGAGGAGGAAGAGAGCGAGCGUUGAUCAACCACCAUGUAGAGAAGACGCUGAUGAUUGUUGUACGAGUAGCGCGGGCCAGCAGAGUUAAGAGUGGUUCCGUCGAGGUUUAACGAUUCGGUUGUUGACGCACAGACGUCGCAAGGUCGAGUCGAAGGAGUCUGACGAGGUUCAUUUAGUGCUGAUUCAACUUUUUUCUCUUAUAGGGCUCAUGUCAUUUGGACGUAAGGACCUGCGAGCACAGUAUUGCACGAAUCACUAGCUGAAGAGCUUUUAUGCAAGCACUGUUUUCUUUGGCCAGAUGAAAAAUUGAAUCCAAAUUUGUUGUUACAGUUGUGGAAAUCCAGUCAGUAUUGUGGCAUUUGCAAGAGAUCAUGGCACUCUUCAGAUUGGCUAACUUGAUAGAUGUAAUACGUAUAUUGCGAUGGGUGUGAUAUAUGGGUACAUGCUGGAUGCGACAACAUUUCGAACAUACCCUUUAAGGAACUGGAGCACAGCAAUUACCAUUGCCCCUCAUUGCAGACCGCAGCAUGAGUGUGCACCGACAGUAUCAAAUGACCAGUUACCGAC